AUAAUGGAAGAAAAGCAAGAUUAUUGAUUGAGUGAGACCUCGAAGAAAUCACGAAAGAUUUUGUGAGUGGAAAAUUAUUUCCUUCCCUGAUCAUGCAAUGAAUUUAUUCAAAUAGAAUAUGCAAGUCAUGGCAACUUUUCUAAAGACAACGCAAUAAAGAAACUACUAAACGAGUUGACAGAUGAUAUAUUUCUUCAGGCGCUAGAGCUAACAUUGUAAUGCAAUUACUGGCCUAUAUUUUGUCAACAAUAAGUAUCCGAAAGGAAAAACCAGCAGGACGGUGGAAGCUCCUUCGCUUAGAAGUUGCUGAAGGAUAACCAUAAACCCUGAAUCUACAUAAGAACUUUCUCUAAGUAUGCAUGUGUGCUUAUCUACCCUAGCAAAUUCCCUUUUUUGGUUUAGUAAAAAACUUUUCUAAUGUAGGUGGUAAAUUAGUUCCCUCACGCUAAGAUAU